GAUGAACGCUAGCGACAGGCUUAACACAUGCAGGUCGAGGGGCAGCAUAAAAGUAGCAAUACUUUGGUGGCGACCGGCGCACGGGUGAGUAACGCGUAUGCAACCUACCUAUCAGAGGGGAAUAACCCGGCGAAAGUCGGACUAAUACCGCAUAAAACAGGGGCACCGCAUGGUGAUAUUUGUUAAAGAAAUUCGCUGAUAGAUGGGCAUGCGUUCCAUUAGGUAGUUGGUGAGGUAACGGCUCACCAAGCCGACGAUGGAUAGGGGAACUGAGAGGUUGGUCCCCCACACUGGAACUGAGACACGGACCAGACUCCUACGGGAGGCAGCAGUGAGGAAUAUUGGUCAAUGGGCGGGAGCCUGAACCAGCCAAGUCGCGUGAAGGAAGAAGGAUCUAUGGUUCGUAAACUUCUUUUGCAGGGGAAUAAAGUGCAGGACGUGUCCUGUUUUGUAUGUACCCUGGGAAUAAGGAUCGGCUAACUCCGUGCCAGCAGCCGCCGUAA
rnacentral:rRNA from 1 species